AUUUAAACUGUAAUAAAAAUAGCCGCAUAAUCAUUCCACAAAAGGGAUGCACAGACUGCAGCCAGAUCAGAGCAGAGCCCCAGGGCGUCGAUGGAAAUUGCUAAUUGGAAAAAUGUUUUUCUGUAGACAGGAGCAUGUAUAGUACAUACAUAUUUGCGCAGUGAGGCGCACUACAAAGAGGAGACCAGAGUGGACCAUGACUGGGAUGAGGGAACACGAAUAGUAGUAGAAAAAUAUUGGUAAAUAGUAGCAGAAUUUGCGAUGCAAGAAACCAUUCUCUGUUGCGCUGCGAGUGGCGCAAAUUGCUUUAAUGGACAGCAAAGCCAAAGCGUAAUACAAAAACUAAAACAAUAAAAAAAAACACACUUAAAUAAUGUGAAAUAUGAGCGGGCAUACGUCAAUGAACGCAGAGAGCGGGAGACGAGCCAUUUAAAGCGGUGAAAUGUAGGUGGAGGAGGGGAGGUCGGGUGUAUGACUCCUACAAAGCAGCUGAUUCAUGCCGGUGGAAUAUCUAGAAAAAUUGUGAAACUAUUUGGGAGAGUGUUCAUACCAGGUAUAUACCACGUAUAUGUGUAGUUUUAUCGUCUACAAACCGAAUUAUCAAUAAAGCCCGAAGCCCCAAUAAAGAAUGAAAGUUUCCCCAGAGGCAUGGUCGCCAGGCUGUCCUGGUCCUCGAAGAAAGCUCCUCCGAGUAUACGGUGUCGCCUUCCUUUAAGUGCGGGACAGCUAAAAAGGAGGUGCUGGACAAGGUGUUGCUUUACAACGUGCAAAAUCUAUAUGCUACCAAAGGCGAAAACUAAAUACCAUACAUUCGAGUAUUAAAUAAAUAUAUUAUAUUGAACUAUUCCCACAGCCAAUAGUAUUUGGGUAAUUGUCUAUUUCUGUCUUGAAAAAUUUGAAUAGUUUACAUUUAUAUGAACAAAAAUUGUUAUAAAAAGGGCAAUAAAACUAAAAUUUAUGUCGUGUUUUGUAUUUUCAAUGUAA